rnacentral:rRNA from 1 species
AAUUCGAUUAGAGUUUGAUCCUGGCUCAGGAUGAACGCUAGCGGCAGGCCUAAUACAUGCAAGUCGAGGGGUAACAGGAAGUGCUUGCACUUCGCUGACGACCGGCGCACGGGUGAGUAUCGCGUAUACAAUCUGCCUCAUACUAGGGAAUAGCCCGAAGAAAUUUGGAUUAAUGCCCUAUAGUAUCUUUUUAAGGCAUCUUAUUAAGAUUAAAGGUUACGGUAUGAGAUGAGUAUGCGUUCUAUUAGCUAGUAGGUGUGGUAACGGCACACCUAGGCUACGAUAGAUAGGGGCCCUGAGAGGGGGAUCCCCCACACUGGUACUGAGACACGGACCAGACUCCUACGGGAGGCAGCAGUAAGGAAUAUUGGUCAAUGGACGAAAGUCUGAACCAGCCAUGCCGCGUGCAGGAUGACUGCCCUAUGGGUUGUAAACUGCUUUUAUAUAGGAAGAAAAACUUUCUCGUGAGAAAGCUUGACGGUACUAUAAGAAUAAGGAUCGGCUAACUCCGUGCCAGCAGCCGCGGUAAUACGGAGGAUCCAAGCGUUAUCCGGAAUCAUUGGGUUUAAAGGGUCCGUAGGUGGACAAAUAAGUCAGAGGUGAAAUCCUGCAGCUCAACUGUAGGACUGCCUUUGAUACUGUUUGUCUUGAGUUAUUAUGAAGUGGUUAGAAUGUGUAGUGUAGCGGUGAAAUGCAUAGAUAUUACACAGAAUACCGAUUGCGAAGGCAGAUCACUAAUAAUCAACUGACACCGAUGGACGAAAGCGUGGGUAGCGAACAGGAUUAGAUACCCUGGUAGUCCACGCCGUAAACGAUGGUCACUAGCUGUUUGGACUUCGGUCUGAGUGGCUAAGCGAAAGUGAUAAGUGACCCACCUGGGGAGUACGUUCGCAAGAAUGAAACUCAAAGGAAUUGACGGGGGCCCGCACAAGCGGUGGAGCAUGUGGUUUAAUUCGAUGAUACGCGAGGAACCUUACCAGGGCUUAAAUGUUAGGUGACAGAUCUAGAAAUAGAUUUUUCUUCGGACACUUAACAAGGUGCUGCAUGGUUGUCGUCAGCUCGUGCCGUGAGGUGUCAGGUUAAGUCCUAUAACGAGCGCAACCCCUGUUGUUAGUUGCCAGCGAGUAAUGUCGGGAACUCUAGCAAGACUGCCAGUGCAAACUGUGAGGAAGGUGGGGAUGACGUCAAAUCAUCACGGCCCUUACGUCCUGGGCUACACACGUGCUACAAUGGUAGGUACAGAGAGCAGCCAAUGCGCGAGCAUGAGCAAAUCUAUAAAACCUAUCUCAGUUCGGAUCGGAGUCUGCAACUCGACUCCGUGAAGCUGGAAUCGCUAGUAAUCGGAUAUCAGCCAUGAUCCGGUGAAUACGUUCCCGGGCCUUGUACACACCGCCCGUCAAGCCAUGGAAGUUGGGAGUGCCUGAAGUCCGUUUCCGCAAGGAUCGGCCUAGGGUAAAAUCGAUAACUAGGGCUAAGUCGUAACAAGGUAAAUCACUAGUGAAUUCGCGGCCGCCUGCAGGUCGACCAUAUGGGAGAGCUCCCAACGCGUUGGAUGCAUAGCUUGAGUAUUCUA